AACGAACGCUGGCGGCGUGGAUAAGACAUGCAAGUCGAACGCUGAUUUCAGGGUAGCAAUAUUCUGAAGUUGGAGUGGCGCAAGGGUGCGUAACACGUGGGUAAUUUGCCAUGAAGCCCGGAAUAACUCGCUGAAAGGCGAGCUAAUACCGGAUGUGAUGUUCGGGAGGCAUCUCCUGAACCUUAAAGCUGGGGACCGCAAGGCCUGGCACUUCUUGAUAAGCCCGCGGCCUAUCAGCUAGUUGGUGAGGUAACGGCUCACCAAGGCUAAGACGGGUAGCUGGUCUGAGAGGACGACCAGUCACACUGGAACUGAGACACGGUCCAGACACCUACGGGUGGCAGCAGUCGAGUAAUUUUUCNCAAUGGGCGAAAGCCUGAAGGAGCGACGCCGC
rnacentral:rRNA from 1 species